rnacentral:rRNA from 1 species
AUAUCACUAAGCGGAGAAAAAGAAAAUAACAAUGAUUCCUAGAGUAACGGCGAGUGAAAUAGGAACAGCCCAUAGCCGAAUUCUGCUGUCCUCGACGGCAGCUAGAAGUUGUGGCGUUGGGAACUGCCUAUAGUAACCGAUUGGCCGGGCUACACGACUCCUCUUGAUUGUGGUUUGCCCAUAGCAGGUGAAAGGCCUAUUGUUUGUAGCCUCGAGUUGAAGGCCAGCGGUGAUGGCAGUCCUUAGAGUCGGUUUGUUUGGGAUUGCAGACCGAAGUAGGUGGUAAACCCACCUAAGGCUAAAUACG